rnacentral:rRNA from 1 species
GACGAACGCUGGCGGCGUGCUUAACACAUGCAAGUCGAACGGAAAGGCCCUGCUUUUGUGGGGUGCUCGAGUGGCGAACGGGUGAGUAACACGUGAGUAACCUGCCCUUGACUUUGGGAUAACUUCAGGAAACUGGGGCUAAUACCGGAUAGGAGCUCCUGCUGCAUGGUGGGGGUUGGAAAGUUUCGGCGGUUGGGGAUGGACUCGCGGCUUAUCAGCUUGUUGGUGGGGUAGUGGCUUACCAAGGCUUCGACGGGUAGCCGGCCUGAGAGGGUGACCGGCCACAUUGGGACUGAGGGACGGCCCAGACGCGUACGGGAGGCAGCAGUGGGGAAUAUUGCACAAUGGGCGGGAGCCUGAUGCAGCAACGCCGCGUGCGGAAUGACGGCCUUCGAGGUGUAAACCGCUUUGGCCUGUGACGAAGAGUGAGUGACGGUAAUGGGUAAAGAAGCACCGGCUAACUACGUG